rnacentral:rRNA from 1 species
GACGAACGCUGGCGGCGUGCUUAACACAUGCAAGUCGAACGAAGAGCGAUGGAAGCUUGCUUCUAUCAAUCUUAGUGGCGAACGGGUGAGUAACGCGUAAUCAACCUGCCCUUCAGAGGGGGACAACAGUUGGAAACGACUGCUAAUACCGCAUACGACCUAAUCUCGGCAUCGAGGAUGGAUGAAAGGUGGCCUCUAUUUAUAAGCUAUCACUGAAGGAGGGGAUUGCGUCUGAUUAGCUAGUUGGAGGGGUAACGGCCCACCAAGGCGAUGAUCAGUAGCCGGUCUGAGAGGAUGAACGGCCACAUUGGGACUGAGACACGGCCCAGACUCCUACGGGAGGCAGCAGUGGGGAAUCUUCCGCAAUGGACGAAAGUCUGACGGAGCAACGCCGCGUGAGUGAUGACGGCCUUCGGGUUGUAAAGCUCUGUUAAUCGGGACGAAAGGCCUUCUUGCGAACAGUUAGA